CUACAACUCCCGGCGACUCCGCAGGGCGGGGUUUAAGUGCUCCCACCGCCCAGUCCCCGGACCGACUGUCCCACCCGCGACCCAUGCUGGCCCCAGGUUAACGCCUGCAACCCCGGAGGGCCACAAAUCAAAGGUCUGGCAUCUUGACAACAACGCUGUUCUUGUGUGGCUAAGGAGCACUCCAAAGGUGGAUAAACAUGAUGAGAUGGGAGCAAGCUUAAGGGUACCAGAUGGAUAAUCACAUAUUCAUACCAUGGGACAUGCCCCUCGGAUGCAUCCUCAAGAAGGGAGAAAAGUUUGAACCCCAAACCCUAAAAAGGAAAAGGCUAAUAUUUUUCUGUAACACAGCUUGGGUUGAAUAAAAUCUCCAGGACCAGUAAUGUUGGCCAGAAAA